UACGUAGGGUGCGAGCGUUAAUCGGAAUUACUGGGCGUAAAGCGUGCGCAGGCGGUUAUUUAAGUCAGGUGUGAAAGCCCUGGGCUUAACCUAGGAAUUGCGCUUGAGACUGGAUAGCUUGGAGUGCGGCAGAGGGAGGUGGAAUUCCACGUGUAGCAGUGAAAUGCGUAGAGAUGUGGAGGAACACCGAUGGCGAAGGCAGCCUCCUGGGCCAGCACUGACCGCUCGAUGACACGGAAAGCGUGGGGAGCAAACAG
rnacentral:rRNA from 1 species